AGUGAACGCUGGCGGUAGGCCUAACACAUGCAAGUCGAACGGCAGCACAGUAAGAGCUUGCUCUUACGGGUGGCGAGUGGCGGACGGGUGAGGAAUACAUCGGAAUCUACUUUUUCGUGGGGGAUAACGUAGGGAAACUUACGCUAAUACCGCAUACGACCUACGGGUGAAAGCAGGGGAUCUUCGGACCUUGCGCGAUUGAAUGAGCCGAUGUCGGAUUAGCUAGUUGGCGGGGUAAAGGCCCACCAAGGCGACGAUCCGUAGCUGGCCUGAGAGGAUGAUCAGCCACACUGGAACUGAGACACGGUCCAGACUCCUACGGGAGGCAGCAGUGGGGAAUAUUGGACAAUGGGCGCAGGCCUGAUCCAGCCAUACCGCGUGGGUGAAGAAGGCCUUCGGGUUGUAAAGCCCUUUUGUUGGGAAAGAAAAGCAGCAGGUUAAUACCCCGCUGUUCUGACGGUACCCAAAGAAUAAGCACCGGCUAACUUCGUG
rnacentral:rRNA from 1 species